rnacentral:lncRNA from 1 species
GACGUUCUAAUGGAUGAGGGGGUCAGUUUGGACUAGUGGUCAUGGACGUGAAUCUCAGGCCUAUAUAAAUACUACAACAUCUUAUGUUGAUCUAAUGCUUCAGGCACCACUACAGUAAGCCUCAAACCACGAAGACAGCCCUGUGGGAUACCAAAUCAAAUCCCAGAGAUAGAACCAUGGGACAUCAAAUCAACCUCAGAGACAACCCCGAGGAUAGACAGAAUCAACAGCAGUCAAACCCUAGAGACAACCCCGAGGGUCAACCAAAAGCCACCUUAACCCUGGA